rnacentral:tRNA from 1 species
GGUAAGGUGGCUGAAAUUUAUAGGUGGUAGACUGUAAAUCUACUUAUGAGAAUUAUUCUCUCUUACCA